CAGGCACCAAGGUGGCUGUGCAGAACAUUUACAGGAGACGUGCUUGUGGGGAACACAAAACUCCUCUGGGAGCUUCUCAGCAGGUAAAUUUGGUACAGACCAACAGGUCACAUCACCCUCUUUAACACCUGCAAUUUUCACUCUCAGCACAGAGCAUCUUUCUCCCUUUCCUGUACCAUCAGUCCCUGCUCUCCACACAGUGAAACCAAACGACCUGAGCAAUCUCAUUUAUUUGCGAAGAGUAUUUUCUCAUAUUGCCCUCUAAUUCUUACAGGCUUUCAGGUCAUGACUGCAAAAUUCAUGAUAAACAACUCAGUAAAUAGCUCCUGAGAGAGGUCCAGCAAGUCUGAUCUCAUCCCAUGCCAGUCCUUUACUGACAGCUGUGGGUGUGGUCGCUGCCUGUCAGUCUGUCGAGCUGGACACCCAGUGCUCCAGGCACUCUGAAGUGUUACUCUCCUGAUAAUGGAAUAACAGAACAAAAAGGAAUAUGCAAUGAAGUUAAUAUGAGCUACAAGAGAUACAGGUAGGUGUGAAAAUGACAGUGUGACCAAUCCCUGCUGUCAGCAACAGAGAAUUAUAGCUGUAAUGUAUUUCAGUUGGUUCUCUGGCUUCAGAAAUGGUAACUUGUUUAUCAUUUCACCAGCAUAAGAGUUUUCUCAUUCAUAUCUCUGGGUUUCUACAUGCAAAUGCUGAUUUCUGUUCAGCAAAGAUGAGCUGCUGUAGCACUGCAAUGCCAGUCUAAGGGCAGCUACCAUGGAAGUGAAGGAAAGUUUUGCAUCUCUUCAUCAAAGGAGGUGAAUAAAACCAAAACCACCCAACAGGUAGCAGCUCCAGCUUCAAAAUGAGCAAGUGCUCUCUCUGAAGCGAGGACAGGCAGGUAAUCGAUUCCCUUCCACAUAAAUUCCUUUCACGGAAUUCCCUACUGGACUAUUAUUGUUCCUCUACUCACUUCAAAUGGAAUAUUGGGUCCGUUAAAACCAACACGAAAAUUUCUCAGACACAAGAUUUCAUUUCAUCUUUGGCUGCUACAUACCCAGGAAGCACACACAGAUAAUAGUGUCAAAGGAAAAGCAGCUUCUCUUCAGAUUCCUGACAUGAAAGGAGGAAGAAAGUGCGAUGAGAGGCAAACAACCAUGGCUGAAAAGCAAUGGGUGCGCUGAAAGCAAAACCUCAGCUCCAGCCUAAUGUGAGACAGGAGGGGAGGCCACCCACCCAGGAACUCAUUACCACAGCCUCAUCAGCAGCUUAACCUCUAUGAGGGGCUACAUUCUCCCUAACAAGGCUGGGAUUAUCCCAGUCAUCCAUCUGGUAGAAUCAGUUGUCUCCUGUCCGCAAACACGAAGGUGAAAGUACAGGAAUGAAUGAGUAGCCCAACACAAACACGUGUGUGUGCACACAUCUCAGAGUGCUAAGGUAACAGAAUGAGCAAGGUUUAAUUCAACAGACUCCCCAAAUAACAUAUCAUCUAAAAGAGAUGUGACACCAGAGUCAGAUGGCUCUGGAAGAGGCAUCUGGAGAUCACCAAGAGCCAGCCCCAGCUCAAGCUGGGUCACUCACAUGCCUACAGGGAAAAGAUGUGUUCCAGGAAGUAAUUACCUGGAAUGAAGACCAUCAAAACCAGUCUGAGCAACACAAACAUUUCAUUUCUCCACAAGCAAAAUAAAUUGAUCUUGCAACAAAUUCCAAUUCUUAAUAAACUGCUGCCUCAGAUGAAACCAGAAUGGAUUCUAACAACGAGUGUCUAACGUGCUCCAGCAGCAGCACCCUCCUAUUUACACCAGGAGGGUUCAGGCCAGAGCUCUCUGCUGACUGUAAGCAUGGGAGAGAGGUCAUCUCCCAGCCAAAUUUCAAGCCAUUCAAGACUUCAGAGGUCAAAUCAGCAGCUUAACUGGAAACCAGGUGAUCAUUUCUGAUCCCAGCCUAUCAGUGCUGCACAACACCAUCAUGAUGGGCCGUGUACAGGCAGGAUCACACACUGCCUUCACUCGGUGAAAUGCUGGUGGCCAAAGCCAGCAGAGAAGAGCAGAGCUGCCAGAGAAUAAGCACAGCACCAGCCAGAGCCUCACAAAAGCCUCCAGGUGAGGCUCACUGUUAGGGGGACAGUCAUGGCUCCAACAAGGUAAAUCCAGCUCUAUGAAACUGCUCUACCUAUGUGAGUUACUGUGGGGUUGUAGCAAUAUAAAGGAGGACAUUGAACAUAUUGCAGUGUCCUUUAACAACACUGACAGAAGGGCAAGACUCAAGACAAAAUACAGUUCGGGUUCUGAAAUCAAUACAAGAUACAGUUUUCAUGUUCUGACAUUCACAAGGGAUCAAUCACCAGGCGCAAGUGUUAAUCCUCUAUGGUUUCAAAUAGAACGCAACUCCUGCUCUGCUUCCGUCUCUCCCCAUCACAGUAUUCAACUUGUAUCAGUAAAACGUCAAGCUCAAUCCCCUGCAGCACUGGUUAAAAUUAAAAUCUAUUGUAAUUAUGCCUGAUUGAAAAA